AAAAAAAAAAAAAAAAGGAAAAAGUGGGGGAAGGAAAAAAAAGGAAGUUGAAUAACUUUGGGAGAUUUAAAUUAGUUGAUCACCUAGUCCUCCAGUGACGUUAUCUCCACCUAUUUUGUUCAUGAAGAUUCCUAAUACUAUCACCUUCACUUGCAUCUGAAGUACCUUCACCCAUUUGUUUAUCGCCUAAUUUUGCAACAGUAUGAUUUCCUUGUCCAUAAGAGCGUGAAUGGGAAGAUUCUUUUUCUCUCCCAAUUCGGCGUUCAUCACGAAAUAGCAAGUCAUCUGCCUCAAGCAUGUGGAUUACAUGCCCCAUUUUGGGUCGCUUUGUUGCAUCAGGAUCAACACAUCUAAGAGCAACCAGGAGAACACGUUUUAGUGCUUUGGAAGCAGGCAUCUCAGGCAACUUCAGAUCAACUAUUUCCUCAGAUUUUCUGUUUCCAACCAUGGCUUUUAACCAAUCCACCAAAUUCACCUCUCCUUGUGGUCGACCAUAAUCAACAGGGCUUCUCCCAGAAAUUAACUCCAUGAUAAGUAUACCAAAGCUAUACACAUCGCUCUUCUCAUUCAGCAUUCCUGUGCAAGCAUACUCUGGUGCAACAUAACUAGCGAAACCAAUAAAUUGGAGUUAAUUUUCCUAUUUAAGAGCAUCAUAGGACAUCCAACAAUUGACCAAAUGAUUCUGCAUGUAUUUAAGCUUUCAUUUAUCUUAAAAUUUACUAAUUCAGGAAAGGAAAAAGAUGAAAGUAAAAACUCCAUAGAAAGGAAAUGAACAAACCCAAAUGUUCCCAUCACCCUUGUUGUCACAUAAAUCCUCUCAGAACAUAAGAGCUUAGCAAGCCCAAAAUCAGAAACCUUAGCAUUCCAUUGGUGAUCAAGUAGUAUGUUGCUGGAUUUUACAUCGCGAUGGACAACUUUUGGUUCAAGACCCUCAUGAAGGUAGGCUAAUCCCUUUGCUGUUCCCAAUAUAAUGUUCAUACGAAUAUCCCAUGUUAGAGGGCUGACUUCCCCGACAUCACCAUGAAGCCAUUGGUCAAGAUUACCAUUGUCAACAUACUCAUACACAAGCAUCCUAUACGCGCCCUCAACACAGUAUCCAAGCAACCUAACAAGAUUCUUGUGCCGUACUCGUCCAAUUGUUUCCACCUCCACUUUGAAUUCCUUCUCAGCUUGACCCCUGUUAUUCAACAAGUUCUUCACAGCAACCUUAGUACCAUCACUCAGAACCCCACGGUACACAAUCCCAUAUCCACCUUCACCAAUCACAUUCUCUUCACAAAGCCCAUUAGUUGCAGCUUCCAGCUCCCUCAAAGUAUACCAGCGGCCCCACCCGAGAUGAGAGACCUCCGGCCCCACACUCCCACUGCCAAACGACGCUGUCUCGCACCCACUCGCAGUACCUCUAUUCUCCCCACUCGAGGGUCUGUCUGAGAACACCACACGAUGCUCGAUCUUACCGAUCUCGACUUGAAUCUCUGGGACUUGAACUGGGUGGUGGUGAUUCUCUGCGGGGAAAUGCACGAUUUCCUGGAUUUCCUUGGAGAUGGGAGGCGUAGUAUCAGCACGCUUCGACGUUUUGAGAUUCUUGCGACGAUAGGUUAGGCAGAGGGAGAGGAGGAAUAGAGCGAGGACUAUGAGAGAUCCCAGCAGGAUUCCAAUCACCACCCAGAGGCGGAGGCCGAAGAUUGAGGUCGGCUUCGAUAGCUCUGUAUUCAGAAACGCGGCGUCGUAUAACGACAUAUCUUCCAAUCUUCUUUUCCUUCCCUCCGUAUCACGGGGAAAGAAAGAGAAGGAAAUCAAUGGUCGCAAGAUUCAGAAGUACAAGAGAAAUUUCGCUGCAUUGGCUCGCCGGAAAAAGAAUUCCGGCGAAAAAUAUAUAUUAUAUACAGACCGAAGAAGGAGAGGAGAGAAUCAGAGGAAUGUGUAAAGAGAGGAAUCAAUGGAAUAUUAAAGUAUAAGAGAUAGAAAGGGGAAAGGAAGAAAGUGUUUCCCUCUGUGGGAAGUAAACAGUAAUAGCGAGAGGAAAGAAACGAAAAG
rnacentral:misc_RNA from 1 species